rnacentral:misc_RNA from 1 species
GGAAGGAUCAUUCGCACCUAUGCAACAUCGAUUGCAUCCGGCAUAGCGCCAAAAACCUCGCGAGUGCUUAAUACAUUCACUCGAAAACUUAAAAACUGCGACAACGAAUGCAUCGGCACGUUUUUCGAUGAAAGACGCAGUCGUGGGAGUUAUUUCCUCUGAUCUGCAGAAUUUCGUGAGUGAGAGAGUGUCUGAACGCUUUAGUGCUAGGCUUGCCUAGCAGCAUUUGCUCAAGUAGAUUUGGAUGCUUAUGCAAUAUCUGCGCUUUUAGCGCCUGAUUCAACGCCGACUCUGCUUGUAACUAUCCAGAGACUGGCACACUUCUCUUGAUCUGAAAUCGGGCAAGAAAACCCGCUGAACUUAAGCAUAUCAAUAAGCGGAGGAAAAGAAACUAACAAGGAUUCCCCUAGUAACGGCGAGUGAAGCGGGAAGAGCUAACCGUCGAAUCGUGCUUGCACGAAUUGUGGCGGGCGAUUGAUUCGUUGUUUCGCUUGUUGAGAAAUCUCUGGAACGAGGUGCUAUUACGGGUGAAAGCCCCGAACUCAACAAAGUCUCAACUAUUGACGUCGCAAAUGUAGUCACGCUCUUUGGUAGUAGAGCGUAAAUGCGUGGUAAAUUCCGCGUAAAGCUAAAUAUUUUAACGUGACCGAUAGCACACAAGUACCGUGAGGGAACUGUGAAAAACACUUUGAAAAGAGGGUGAAAAGCAUUUCAAAUUGUCGCAGUCGAAGCUGAUCCGGGUCUGGCUUGUCGUGAUAGUUUAGCUUCUGGCUGAAUGCGUCCCGAUGAGCGGGCCAACUUGAGUCACAACAUGUUCCACGUAUGUUCGCAUGCGAGGCUUUAAUGUGAGUGGCUCUUGUUGAUGUGCAAACCUCCUAGGAAUGCACGAUGGCCUUAGAUUUCGGUUCUGUCCCGUCUUGAAACACGGACCAAGGAGUCUACCUUCUGAUGCGAGUAUGGAAGUUAAAAGCUUCAGUGCGCAAUUAACGUGAGUAUUCACGACUGACUUGGCAUGCCUUCGGGUAUGCUGAAGAACGUGAGCACACAGAUUAGGACCCGAAAGAUGGUGAACUAUGCCUGAGUAGGGUGAAGCCAGGGGAAACUCUGGUGGAAGCUCGUAGCGAUACUGACGUGCAAAUCGUUCGUCAAACUUGGGUAUAGGGGCGAAAGACCAAUCGAACCAUCUAGUAGCUGGUUCCCUC